rnacentral:rRNA from 1 species
UAGAGUUUGAUCCUGGCUCAGGAUGAACGCUAGCUACAGGCUUAACACAUGCAAGUCGAGGGGCAGCAUGGGGUGGCAACACCCCGAUGGCGACCGGCGCACGGGUGAGUAACGCGUAUCCAACCUACCCCACACUCUGGAAUAGCCCUCUGAAAGGAGGAUUAAUGCCGGAUGUGCUUGCGAGGGGACAUCCCCUUGCAAGUAAAGAUUCAUCGGUAUGGGAUGGGGAUGCGACUGAUUAGGUAGUAGGCGGGGCAACGGCCCACCUAGCCGACGAUCAGUAGGGGUUCUGAGAGGAAGGUCCCCCACAUAGGAACUGAGACACGGUCCUAACUCCUACGGGAGGCAGCAGUGAGGAAUAUUGGUCAAUGGUCGAGAGACUGAACCAGCCAAGUAGCGUGAAGGAAGACUGCCCUAUGGGUUGUAAACUUCUUUUACAGGGGAAUAAAGUGCGUCACGUGUGGCGCAUUGCAUGUACCCUGCGAAUAAGCAUCGGCUAAUUCCGUGCCAGCAGCCGCGGUAAUACGGAAGAUGCGAGCGUUAUCCGGAUUUAUUGGGUUUAAAGGGAGCGUAGGCGGGCUUUUAAGUCUGCGGUUAAAUGUCGGUGCUCAACGCCGUCAUGCCGUGGAAACUGGAGGUCUUGAAUGCACACAAGGAAAGUGGAAUUCGUGGUGUAGCGGUGAAAUGCUUAGAUAUCACGAAGAACUCCGAUUGCGAAGGCAGCUUUCUGGGGUGCUAUUGACGCUGAGGCUCGAAAGUGCGGGUAUCAAACAGGAUUAGAUACCCUGGUAGUCCGCACAGUAAACGAUGAAUGCUCGUCCUUGGCGACAGACAAGUCAGGGACCAAGUGAAAGCAUUAAGCAUUCCACCUGGGGAGUACGCCGGCAACGGUGAAACUCAAAGGAAUUGACGGGGGCCCGCACAAGCGGAGGAACAUGUGGUGUAAUUGGAUGAUACGUGAGGAACGUUACCCGGGCUUGAUAUUGAGGAGGGAUGGCGCAGAGACGGGUCAGUCAGCAAUGACCUCUAUGAAGGUGGUGCAUGGUUGUCGUCAGCUCGUGCCGUG